GGCGAGAUGGCCGAGCGGUUAAGGCGUGUGACUCAAGUUCUCAUCAUCGUAUGAUGGCAGGGGUUCGAAUCCCCUUCUCGUCA
rnacentral:tRNA from 1 species